rnacentral:rRNA from 1 species
UUGAGACUGGAGCGGUAGCACAGAGAGCUGGCUCUCGGGUGACGAGCGGCGGACGGGUGAGUAAUGUCUGGGAAACUGCCUGAUGGAGGGGGAUAACUACUGGAAACGGUAGCUAAUACCGCAUAACGUCGCAAGACCAAAGUGGGGGACCUUCGGGCCUCAUGCCAUCAGAUGUGCCCAGAUGGGAUUAGCUAGUAGGUGGGGUAACGGCUCACCUAGGCGACGAUCCCUAGCUGGUCUGAGAGGAUGACCAGCCACACUGGAACUGAGACACGGUCCAGACUCCUACGGGAGGCAGCAGUGGGGAAUAUUGCACAAUGGGCGCAAGCCUGAUGCAGCCAUGCCGCGUGUGUGAAGAAGGCCUUCGGGUUGUAAAGCACUUUCAGCGGGGAGGAAGGCGUUGAGGUUAAUAACCUUGUCGAUUGACGUUACCCGCAGAAGAAGCACCGGCUAACUCCGUGCCAGCAGCCGCGGUAAUACGGAGGGUGCAAGCGUUAAUCGGAAUUACUGGGCGUAAAGCGCACGCAGGCGGUCUGUCAAGUCGGAUGUGAAAUCCCCGGGCUCAACCUGGGAACUGCAUUCGAAACUGGCAGGCUAGAGUCUUGUAGAGGGGGGUAGAAUUCCAGGUGUAGCGGUGAAAUGCGUAGAGAUCUGGAGGAAUACCGGUGGCGAAGGCGGCCCCCUGGACAAAGACUGACGCUCAGGUGCGAAAGCGUGGGGAGCAAACAGGAUUAGAUACCCUGGUAGUCCACGCCGUAGACGAUGUCGAUUUGGAGGUUGUGCCCUUGAGGCGUGGCUUCCGGAGCUAACGCGUUAAAUCGACCGCCUGGGGGAGUACGGCCGCAAGGUUAAAACUCAAAUGAAUUGACGGGGGCCCGCACAAGCGGUGGAGCAUGUGGUUUAAUUCGAUGCAACGCGAAGAACCUUACCUGGUCUUGACUUCCACAGAACUUUCCAGAGAUGGAUUGGUGCCUUCGGGAACUGUGAAAA